CCUCCUUUUCUUCACGAGGACUGGGUGUAUGACCUGUUCCCUGUUACGUAUGGAGAUAGAAGAAAAGGGCUCUGGGCUCCUCAGCAUCAUGUCUUCUGUGCCAGCUGCUUCCCAUGUUCCAUCCUCAAGUGCUGAGACAUGG